rnacentral:rRNA from 1 species
UACAGGGGUGGCAAGCGUUGUUCGGAAUUACUGGGCGUAAAGGGCGCGUAGGCGGCCCGUCAAGUCCCGUGUGAAAGCCCCCGGCUCAACCGGGGAACGGCGCGGGAAACUAGCAGGCUUGAGUUCGGGAGAGGGAAGCGGAAUUCCGGGUGUAGCGGUGAAAUGCGCAGAUAUCCGGAGGAACACCGGUGGCGAAGGCGGCUUCCUGGACCGACACUGACGCUGAGGCGCGAAAGCUAGGGGAGCAAACAGG